GCCGAGGCCCCCACAGAGGAAAAGGGUGCUGAUCGAGUGCCCUGCUGACUCCAUGGCCUCUAUAAUGAGGCGCGUCCCGAACUUAAAGGGAAGAACAGAAGAAGGCAUCAGUACGGUAGCAAAGCAAUGGCUUGAACUGUGGCCAGGUAGAGAAUGGCAAGAUCAUCGAGGUCCUGAGAUAGUUUCAAUCCGGUGACCUGUAGGGAUGAAGAAAAGAAAAGAAGGAGAUGGCGCCAUGGUUAGAGAUAGUUCCCAUGAAACACGUUCAGAUGUGUUUUCUUGCCGAAACAAGUUCAUAUGCAAAUCCCCUUUUUGUAAGCUGAACGUGAAGUGACUACUGAAUUGUUUAAUCUCCAGACCUGGGAAAAAGUAUCCCUUCUUCCCCCAAAGAAAAUGCCUUGCCUUGGA